GGGAAGGAAGCGGGAAGGACAGUGGCCAGAUUUCCUCUAAAGAAGAGACAAUAGAGAAGCUCACAGUGGCUAUUCUAUGGAAAGGGCUGACCUGUUUCAUCUUGAAUGGCAAGAAAUAAACCCGUUCAACCAGAUGACUUCAUCCUUCUUCCAGUGACUGGGAGAAAAUACAACAAAAGACUAACACAUGAAAGAAUGACGCCAGUUUCUCUAAAGGAAUUUCUGGGGAAGGCGUGAAGAUAGUAUGGUUGAAGGGACAGAUUAUGACCUGCUUGGAAGACAUGAAAUAAAAUUAUGAUUAACCUUC